rnacentral:lncRNA from 1 species
CAGGGUUCUUUAGAAUUGGCAUCUAGAUCGACUGCAGAAAUGACAGUGACUGGCAGUGGUGAGAACUACUCUACGGGGUGGAGAAAGCAUGGGAACCACCUCUGGAGGAGUGGCACUAGAGACGGGGAGUGACUGUCUUCCCAAAUCUCCACAGGGCCCGUGAAAUCCUUGGUUUAUUUUUUAGUAACCAGGCAGCGUGACCUCUUGGCAAGGGCAUGGGACUAGGGCCAGACGGAAUGGAGAUCAACUCGAGCUUCUCCUCUUACUGGAUUUGUUUGGGGUAAGGAUUUGCAUCUACAAGUUCACGUCCGUGAAAAAGUGUUGGUACUAACAGGUUGCUGGGAGAUACUGCUGGGCAUUUUACCAGUUUCGGUUUGAGUUCUGGCUAACUUACCUCUGUAAGCCUCACUUGUGCUUUGGAGGUUCACCUCCGUAUCUAAACCCCCUACCUUGCAUUUUUUAUUGAAAGUGUAAGGCUAGGUAUUAGCCAUACAGAAUACUAUGCAACUGC